rnacentral:rRNA from 1 species
UACGGAGGAUCCAAGCGUUAUCCGGAUUUAUUGGGUUUAAAGGGUGCGUAGGCGGCCUAUUAAGUCAGGGGUGAAAGACGGUAGCUUAACUAUCGCAGUGCCUUUGAUACUGAUGGGCUUGAAUGUACUUGAGGUAGGCGGAAUGUGACAAGUAGCGGUGAAAUGCAUAGAUAUGUCACAGAACACCGAUUGCGAAGGCAGCUCACAAAACUGUAACUGACGCUGAGGCACGAAAGCGUGGGGAUCAAACAGG